GCAGACUGCACAGAUGGAACAUGGAAAGGCUUUUAACAGAAAUGAAUACUUUCAGACUAGGUUUGAAGGACUGAGUAGGAGUAAACUAAAAGAGAAAAAGCAGGACAAAAGAAGCACCACUUUGGAAGCUCAAAGCCGCACUGGAAACACAGUCUUUCAGGAUGUCUGAAAGGGAUAUACAGGGAGUCCACGGAGCCUCCCCUGCAAGCAUCAGUACAGAAGUCGAUGAUAAUCUGGAUGCAAGCCCAGGAGUGUGGAGUCCACUGACUCAGAAGACCUGCAUCUAAGGAAUUGGCUGUUCUUAUCCUUAAGAAUGAUGACUGUGUUUCCAAUUCCAGUAGACCCUUUGAUGCGUUCUGAAUAAAUAUUCCUUUUGGAAUUGAACUUCUAGAGCCCUUAACUUUGGCCCACUCUAGUUUUCUGUCUGUUUUUUUUUUUUUUAA
rnacentral:lncRNA from 1 species